rnacentral:rRNA from 1 species
UACGGGGGGAGCAAGCGUUGUUCGGAUUUACUGGGCGUAAAGGGCGCGUAGGCGGUCAGCACAAGUCAGUUGUGAAAUCUCCGGGCUUAACUCGGAAAGGUCAACUGAUACUGUGCUACUAGAGUGCAGAAGGGGCAACUGGAAUUCUCGGUGUAGCGGUGAAAUGCGUAGAGAUCCGGAGGAACACCGAAGGCGAAGGCAGUGUCCUGGCUGGUGACUGACGCUGAGGUGCGAAAGCUAGGGGAGCGAACGGG